GUCAGAUUUUCACUUUCUUUAUUAAAGCAGGUAUGGAGAAAACUCUGCAGGACGAGAUUGAAGCCAUUCUGCGGGAGAGAAUUAUGGUGCUUGAUGGAGGAAUGGGGACCAUGAUCCAGCGACACAAGCUGAGUGAGGAAGACUUCCGGGGACAAGAAUUUAAAGAUCAUGCCAGGCCCCUGAAAGGCAACAAUGACAUUUUAAGUAUAACUCAACCCGAUGUCAUUUACCAAAUCCAUAAGGAUUACUUGCUGGCGGGAGCAGAUAUCAUUGAAACAAAUACUUUUAGCAGCACUAACAUUGCCCAAGCUGACUAUGGCCUCGAACACUUGGCCUACCGGAUGAACAAGUGCUCUGCAGGAGUGGCCAGGAAAGCAGCCGAGGAGAUAACGCUCCAGACAGGAAUUAAGAGGUUUGUGGCAGGAGCGCUGGGUCCAACUAAUAAGACACUCUCUGUGUCCCCAUCUGUGGAAAGACCAGAUUACAGGAACAUCACAUUUGAUGAGCUUGUUGAAGCCUACGAAGAGCAGGCCGAAGGGCUUCUGGAUGGUGGGGUUGAUAUCUUACUCGUUGAAACUAUUUUUGACACCGCCAAUGCCAAGGCAGCCUUGUUUGCAGUCCAAAAACUUUUUGAAGAGAAGUAUGCUCCCCGGCCUGUCUUUAUUUCAGGGACAAUUGUUGAUAAAAGCGGACGGACUCUCUCAGGCCAGACUGGAGAGGCGUUUGUCAUCAGUGUGUCUCACGCAGACCCACUCUGCAUUGGAUUAAAUUGUGCUCUGGGUGCAGCUGAAAUGAGACCUUUUAUUGAAACAGUUGGAAAAUGUACAACAGCUUAUGUCCUCUGUUAUCCCAAUGCAGGUCUUCCCAAUACCUUCGGUGACUAUGAUGAAUCUCCGCACAUGAUGGCCAUGCACUUAAAGGAUUUUGCUGUGGAUGGCUUGGUGAAUAUAGUUGGCGGAUGCUGUGGCACAACACCAGAUCAUAUCAGAGAAAUUGCUGAAGCUGUGAAAAACUGUAAGCCUAGAGUUCUACCUGCCACUGUUUUCGAAGGGCAUAUGCUACUGUCUGGUCUGGAGCCCUUCAGGAUUGGACCGUACACCAACUUUGUUAACAUUGGAGAGCGCUGUAACGUUGCAGGAUCCAAGAAGUUUGCUAAACUCAUCAUGGCAGGAGAUUAUGAAGAAGCACUAAGUGUUGCCAGAAUGCAGGUGGAAAUGGGAGCGCAGGUGCUGGACAUCAACAUGGACGAUGGCAUGCUUGAUGGUCCAAGCGCAAUGACCAGAUUCUGCAACUUCCUUGCUUCUGAGCCUGACAUUGCCAAGGUGCCCUUGUGCAUCGACUCUUCCAACUUUGCUGUGAUUGAAGCCGGGUUAAAGUGCUGCCAGGGCAAGUGUAUUGUUAACAGCAUUAGUCUGAAGGAGGGAGAAGACGACUUCCUGGAGAAGGCCAGAAAGAUUAAGAAGUUCGGGGCUGCUGUGGUGGUCAUGGCUUUUGAUGAAGAAGGACAGGCAACAGAAACAGACAAUAAAAUCAGGGUGUGCACCCGGGCCUACCAUCUACUCGUGCAGAAACUGGGCUUCAAUCCAAAUGAUAUCAUCUUCGACCCUAACAUCCUCACCAUCGGUACUGGAAUGGAAGAACACAACUUGUACGCUGUUAAUUUUAUCUAUGCAACGAAAGUCAUUAAAGAAACAUUACCCGGAGCCAAAGUGAGUGGAGGUCUUUCCAACUUGUCCUUCUCCUUCCGAGGAAUGGACGCCAUUCGAGAAGCAAUGCAUGGGGUUUUCCUUUACCAUGCCAUCAAGUCUGGUAUGGACAUGGGGAUAGUGAAUGCUGGGAACCUUCCUGUGUAUGAUGAUAUCCACAAGGAACUCCUCCAGCUCUGUGAAGAUCUCAUCUGGAACAAAGACCCCGAGGCCACCGAGAAGCUCUUGCGCUACGCCCAGGCCCAGGACAAAGGAGGGAAGAAGGUCAUCCAGACGGAUGAGUGGAGGGGCGGCCCCAUCGAGGAGCGCCUUGAGUACGCCCUCGUGAAGGGCAUUGAAAAAUAUAUUAUUGAGGAUACUGAAGAAGCCAGAUUAAACCAGGAAAAAUACCCUCGACCUCUGAAUAUAAUCGAAGGGCCGCUGAUGAAUGGCAUGAAAGUUGUUGGUGAUCUUUUUGGAGCUGGAAAAAUGUUUCUGCCCCAGGUUAUAAAGUCAGCUCGGGUCAUGAAGAAGGCUGUUGGUCACCUUAUUCCCUUCAUGGAAAAAGAGAGAGAAGAAACCAGAGGGCUUACUGGCACAGCAGAAGACGAGGACCCUUACCAAGGCACCAUCGUGCUGGCCACCGUCAAGGGGGAUGUGCAUGACAUAGGCAAGAACAUCGUUGGAGUGGUCCUCGGGUGCAACAAUUUCAGAGUUAUUGAUUUAGGGGUCAUGACUCCCUGUGAUAAGAUACUGAAAGCUGCUAUUGACCACAAAGCAGAUAUAAUCGGCCUGUCAGGACUCAUUACUCCUUCCCUGGAUGAAAUGAUUUUUGUUGCUAAGGAGAUGGAGAGGUUAGCUAUAAAGAUCCCGUUGCUGAUUGGAGGAGCCACCACUUCGAGAACCCACACAGCAGUUAAAAUAGCUCCAAGAUACAGUGCGCCUGUAAUCCACGUCCUGGACGCAUCCAAGAGCGUGGUGGUGUGUUCUCAGCUGUUAGAUGAGAAUCUAAAAGAUGAGUACUUUGAAGAGAUCAUGGAAGAAUAUGAAGAUAUUAGACAGGACCAUUAUGAGUCUCUCAAGGAGAGAAGAUACUUAACCUUAAGUCAAGCUAGAGAGAACGGCUUCCGUAUUGACUGGCUGUCAGAGCCUCGCCCAGUGAAGCCCACGUUUCUCGGGACUCGCGUCUUUGAGGACUACGACCUGCAGAAGCUGGUGGAUUACAUUGACUGGAAACCUUUCUUCGAUGUCUGGCAGCUCCGGGGCAAAUACCCGAAUCGAGGCUUUCCCAAGAUAUUUAAUGACAAAACUGUAGGUGAAGAGGCCAAAAAAGUCUAUGAUGAUGCCCAAAACAUGCUGAAAGCACUGAUUAGUCAGAAGAAGCUGCAGGCCAGGGGUGUGGUUGGGUUCUGGCCAGCGCAGAGCGUCCGGGACGAUAUCCACCUGUUCGCGGAGGGUGCAGUGCCCCAGGCUGCAGACCCCAUAGCCGUCUUUCACGGGCUGAGGCAGCAGGCGGAGAAGGACUCUGCCAGCUCGGACCCGUACCACUGCCUCUCGGACUUCAUCGCCCCUCUGCACUCGGGUGUCCCCGACUAUCUGGGCCUGUUCGCCGUCGCCUGCUUCGGGGUGGAAGCGCUGAGCAGGGCCUACGAGGAGGCGUGCGACGACUACAACAGCAUCAUGGUCAAGGCGCUGGGGGACCGGCUGGCCGAGGCCUUCGCAGAGGAGCUGCACGAAAGGGUCCGCAGGGAGCUGUGGGCGUACUGCGCCGAUGAGCGGCUGGACGUGGCGGACCUGCGGAGACUGCACUACGGGGGCAUCCGGCCAGCGCCUGGCUACCCAAGCCAGCCCGAUCACACCGAGAAGCUCACCAUGUGGAGGCUGGCUGACAUCGAGCAGUGCACAGGCAUCCGGCUAACAGAGUCACUGGCGAUGGCACCUGCUUCAGCCGUGUCCGGCCUUUACUUUUCCAACGUGAAGUCCAGAUAUUUUGCUGUGGGGAAAAUUUCCAAGGAUCAGAGUAUAAGGCAGCUUGGUGAAUAGAUAAAUAUCUAUCUCCAUUUAACUCCAUAGAUUGCUAUCAAGACAAGAAAUGGAAGAUUGAGGAUUAUGCUUUGAGGAAGAACAUGUCUGUGGCCGAGGUUGAGAAGUGGCUGGGACCCAUCCUGGGAUAUGACACAGACUAACUUUUUUGUUACCCUGCCUGUACUCGAUGAUCCUCAAGGAAACACAGCCGAAGUGCCUUAGUAACCAGAGCGCAGCGGCCGCCAGCCCGUCUGCCCCACCCAGCUUUUGGAAUUUGGUGGAAACUUGUAGAGGAGCAAGGUCUUCCUGUGGUUCUUGGAAAACGAGUGGCUGUGUUUUAGGGGACCUUAAAUGAAGAGCAGCGAGCAGGACUUGGGGGGUGUCCCUCGUCCCUUGGGGACCGAGGUGAGCUGGAGGUGGAGGUCUUUUGCAUUUCAAAGAAGUCAACUUUUUUUUUUUUCCUUUUUACCUUGAAUGUACCAGGCCACUUAUUUUGUUUUUCUCUCUCUUGGAGAAAAGCCUGAAACUCAGAUGAAUAGGGAUGUGUAUGCAGAAAUGUGACCGUGUGGCCAGGGGACGCCAUUCAUCUGAGUGAUCAGAGCAGCGCACUCCGACAGGGAGGGAGCGUCACUGUGCUCUGUGUCCCAAGACCUCCUUUCCGAAGCCGCUAUUACACGUCUACAGAAGUCCCUUUGGCAAAGGGCAUGCUUCACCGCCGGCUUGUCAGGAGCACUCAGGCCGCUUGCCUGGCAUGGUCAAACACAGUCAUGUCCUCCAAGCGUUUUUGUCCUCUCAUAAUUUCACGUCCCCUCACUGAGGGGAAAGGAGGUGGGGAGGGAGAGUGGUUGUUAAGGGUAGUUAACAUCUUUGGGGUGUUUCCCAGAACCGAGCAGGGUCUCGGCUAAGCUGCAUGUCCUGUACAGAGUGGACAGGCAUACUCAGUUCUCUCUCUGUGCUGACCCAACUCCAGUCCCACACAACAUGGGAAAAGCACAUUGACUUUUUCACAGCUAUUUCAGGGAAAUGGUUAUGAACAUGAGCCUUGAAGUAGACAGACCUGGGUUCAAGUUUCACUUUGCCACUUACUUGCUGUACGACAGAGGCAGAUUACUUAAGCUCUCCAACACGAUUUUCUCAUCUGUGAAAGGGGGACAGUGAUACUAGUUUCUGUCUCUUGGGCAUGAGGUGUGGAUUAAGCAAGAUGGUGCACAUAAGGCAGGUAACACGGGACCUGGCGCACAGUGAGUGCUUCGUAGACGGCAGCUUCUGUAGGGCCUACAGGGAGUCCUUGAGCUCUGCACAGGGUAGGUGCUCGUGGAAAGGGAACAAGAGGUCAAUGGAGAUGAAAAGAUAGUAGGGAAAAGCACAUGGCAACGACUGGAUUGAACAUACUAAGUACCCUUCCUGGGAUCAGAGCUCCGCUUAACACAGUGAUGGAGAGAGAAGCUGCCCUCUGCUAUCAGCACCGUCAGUCUUCUUUUUCGCGCCGCAGCCCCCCCACCCCUCGUGGUAUAAGCCGGCCUUGUCCCAAAGCAGUUAUAUCAAAUGUGCUUUCAGGUACAUGGGAGGUGAAAGGGGAAAAAACUUAAGAAAUGAUAAUGUUCCAUAUCCGUAGUACAUACGUGUUUACCCGCAGAGUAGCGUGCCUUUUCAGACGCCACCGGCCCUUACGGUGAGGAGAACUGUGUGCCUCUUUAGGUGUAUUUAUUCUGUGCUGGACUGAGUGGGACAGAGUGUCCUGAGAUAGCAGUUGGAGGACUUACUGUCCGUUCCACAGCAGGUAUGUUAUUCUAGGCAUUGGUACAUUCUUCUGUGAGACAGAAUAACUGCCUCCAAAUAUUUUAAUGUAUUUUAUUUUAAUUACAGUUGCUAAGUCUCCUAGUUUCAUUAAAUAUUUACCAUGUCUUCUCUCAACCAGUUACGUGGUGGAAUGGCUUCCUUAAAUGUAUAGUUGAUCUAGUCCCACAAUGGAUGCCUUUUAUCUAAAGACCAAAGCAGUUUGUCCAAGUUCCCAUGCCUGUAUGUUCAUUAAAGAAAACAGAAUACAAUUUGAAAACCCCUUUCUUAGUUUAUAUUAGGUGACCUCAAAGGCAGGAAGGUGACCAGUCUGCACUCGGAGUCUUGUCUGUCUGCCCGGACGUCCAGAGCUCUCCUUGCCAUCAGCUGCUGUGGCUCACGUUCGCUCACUCGCUCGCUCUCAUCAUUUCUGUUAAAGACCCCAGAUCUGUUUUUCCCUCUAAAUAAGCACUCGUCCAGAACCUUGCUUACUCUGCUUGCUCUGCGGUCGGUACUGAGGAGGAUGGCUCCUGGGGUGGUGGUUGAGACCGGAUUUUAUGAUGCCCUGACAUCCUCCUCCCUCUGCGCACAGCUGAGCUCAUUCAGGGACGAGUCUGCCUUCUUCCUGUCUCUCUCAGACACGCCCUCCACAGAUAGCUGAGUGUCUGCUGUGUGCCAGCCAUCUCCUCCCCUUCUCUCCUUAACUCAGUGAAGGUAGGUUUUCUAUGCAUCUGUUUUAUCAUUAAUGACCUCUUCAUUGUUAGAUCCAAUGGCCUUUCCAGUGAUUUUCUUUCUAGGUUUAGAGAAUAUUGACCGCUUCUGUAAAACUCCGUUUCCUGGCUCCCCCUUGACUACUUUUCUGGUUAACCUUCCCUGUGUUUGAUAAUUUCUUAGCUGUUUGCAUAGCUUCCUCUUCCACUGCCUGUUUAAAUCCUAGUUACCUGUCCUCCUGUCACUAGUUACCUUCUUAGGCGUACAGUUUCAACGGGCAAUCUCAUCAAACUGAUGUCUCUGUCCAGACUCCUCUGUCCUGAAGAGCACCGCAUAGCAAACAUCCAGCAGCCUCUUCGGGGAUGGCAGACAGACAUCUCAGACUCAGUGCAUCUCAAACCAGCAUGGUCUCAUUCUUACAUUCUUGAUAUAUUCAGCAGGGAAGAAUUUUGCCGCUGCUCCAGCAGCAGACCACAAACUCACCCCACAUCAGCUUUCUCUUGGACUAUUGCAGUUAUCUAAAAAAUUUGCACAUAAAAGACACACUUUUCCUCCUUCUGGUUGGAAAAGUAGUAGAGACAUUGAAGGGAGGCAGUGUUCAGGUUAAGGCCUGAUUUGGGACAUGAGAGAUACAGUUGAAGAACUGUCUCUGUUCAUGAAUGGUGAAGGUUGUAAAGGCAUCACAUUUCCCGAAGUUGAUCUGUAGACUCAAUGCCGUUUCCAGCAGAAAUUCCAGCAGAAGUUUUCUUAAUUGUGACAAGCAGAUGUUUAAAUUUAUGUGGAAUAGCAAAGGACUAUGAUGGCUGAAGGCUUUUAACUGUGACUAAGGUUGAGGGGACUCAGAAAACAGUGGGUCUUAACUGUAGAGUCUGUGUUGUACGUGGUUCAGAGGUGGGCAUUCUGAGCCGUGCAGUGAAGUACGGAGCCUGGGAGAGAGCCUGUGCGUGUAUGCUGAGUUGUGGCAAGGUGGCGUGGCCCGUGGGUGGGGACAGGAAGGGUGGCUCCAUAAAUAGUUCUAGAAUGGUGGUUAUCCUUAUGGGAAAAUGGAAUUUGAUUUCCACCUCACACCGUACCUAAAACUAGGCUCCAGGUAUGUUAUGGUCUUAAUUGCAAAAAGUAAAUAUUUAAAUGUUUACAUGAAAAAAACCUUAGGGCAGGAAAGAAUUUCUUGAGACAUACAAGUGCUAAUCUUAAAAGAAGGACGAUUAAAUCAAAUAUGUUAAAACUAGGCCUGAAGCUAAUAAACAAUUUAGUGUAGUGAAAAGACAAACCAAGACUUGAUAUUUAUAAUGCAAUUAACUGACAAAGGAUUUUUAAGCAGAAUAUAUAGAGAAUUCCUAUUUUAAAAAUAGAAAAGACUUGAAAAGGCAUUUCACAGAAGUGGAAGUAAUUUCAUAGGGUUUGUAAAUGGCUAGAAAUGUUGGAAAUAUGAACUAAGACCACAGUGAGAUAGCGUUUUAUGUUUGUAAGGUUGGUAACGUUAAGGAGUCUGAUGGUACCUGGGUGAGGAAGAUGUGGGAGCUCAUACACUAUGGAUGUGUGAACAGGCUCCUCUGCUCCAGAAGACGGUCACACCUCACGGAGUUGAACGUUUGCACACUUUAGGAUCUAGCUUAUGGCUCCAGCCCCCCACUGAAUAUUCAGGAACUCUUGCUUUGUGUACCAGGAGGUACAUACGAGACUGUGUAUAGCAACGUCUUCCUAUGGUUAAUACCUGGUAAAAUGACAUGUCCUCUGUCUACAGCAGAAUGGAUGAGUAAAUUAGGUGAUUCACACUAAGGAAUAUUACUCAGUAGUGAACGAUAAGUGAGCUACAGCUAAACCUGGCAAAAGAAUGACUCUCAGAAAACAGUAAGGAAAAAGCAAGCUCCGGGGUAUGGUUGAUACUAUUUUUACUGAGCUCAAAACCAAGCAAAACCAAAGAGUCUAUUGUCUGAGCAUCAUAAAUGGUGACACUAUACUGUUUAAAGAAAAAAGAAAGAUGAUAAGCCAAAAUUCAGGCUCCCAGUUCCCGUCAGAGGGAACAGGUCGCAAGGCGACAGACGGGGAGGUGCAGGUUGCUGGUCACAUGCCAGCCCUUGGGUUAUGUGGCAGGUGUACGGUUGCUUAUUAUGUUAUGCUUUAUAGCCAGUACAUGUUAUAGAAUGCUGUAUGUAAUUAGAUACAUUGUACUUAAUUAUUGAAUAUGAGAACAAUAAAGGAAAAAUGGAAUAAUAAGCAAAAA